CUACAUGAUCUAGAUUCCACCGUUCCCAAAUCACAUUAGUUAUGCUAUACUUCAGUUUUACUUUUAAUCUGCACUCUAUCCUUAUCUCUCUUUGAUAUAACUCUCGCUUAUUUUUCUUUAUGAUCAUCCAUUUUUGUGUUUCUCCGCGUUCUUCAAUUGAUGAAGAUCAAUAGUUCGAAGAUGCAAAACCUGUUAUUUGGAGUGUUGAAGAGCAAAGGUGUAGCUAAAAUUGCAGCAGUAGGCUUUCCUUGGGAGGUGAUUUUUCUUGCUCUGAUUACUGGUGGGUGAUCUUCUCAAGAAGGCUGCACUUAAAGGGAUUGAUUGGACAUACAAAUCAGAUGAAAAAGCUACGCCGAAAAAGAGCAUUAUCAGUCUGUUGAAAGCUCAGUUUCUGGUAGCUCCUUGAGAAAUUGCUAAAUCAGAGCAUCCUUGGACUAUCAGCCAUCAGUUCCUAGGAUCAAUGGUAGUUUAUCACUAGCAUCUUUUGAUUCUAUUGUAAUCACAAAAAGUAUGAAUUUUGCAGAAUAUUUAGAGGCAGGCCAGGUAAAUCAAGUUCUUAUAAGCAGAGAUGUUGUAUGUUAAAAAAAGUUCAAUGUGAAUUUAAGGUUUAUUAUUUAUCAUGCUGUACUCAACUAUCUUAACUUUUCAAGUCAUGGUAGAAUUCUUAUAAUGUUCGUAGUACUAUGUUUUCUGCAAGACAACUAGGCAGGUUAACAACAAGAACACUAGCUUCUCAGGUAUGAUGUUUGGUUUACUAUAUUUCCAUUGUUUCUCUGUCUUUAAGCAGUGAUCGAUAAAAUGGUUCAAACGAUAGGUAUAAGAAGUUACUGGUUUACCCAGGACUUUACAGACUACGAUCUCUUACAUUAGAUCGAUUCAGCCGCCGGGCUUAGCUUGGAAGUUGUACUCUGCCGAAGCCCAAGAGGGCCACACUGUUUAUCCAAACGUUGUGUUUGGCUUCUUGAUAAGAGGCACCUUUUUGAGGUACGACAAUGAGCAGGCCUAUCUAAGGUUGCUAAAGAAUCCUUUUGGAAUUUACAUAAAAUGGAAUAGAAUGAAUACUAUAUUUCUUAAUAGAGCAUUAAUUGUUUAGUGUUCAAGUGGUAUGGUGGAGUUCUUACCUAUGUAUGUAAAGUAUGAGCAGCCCAAGACAAAAAAUUAACGCAAUUUUCUUCCAACGCCAUAUAAGACUUCUAGUUUAGGCUUUCAAGCUCUCCAGUAGUACAAGAAUCUCUCAAUGAGAAUCCGGUGCUCGAACAAUGUGGAAGCCAAGCCAAGAAACAAUUUUUUAUAUAUUCCCAUUAGAAGUUUACUUGGCUUAUAAGUUAAGAUGUUAUCUUUAUAGUCCUUUUCCAUAGUUCUAUAGGGCCAAUUCCAUUAUCUGAUCUAACUUCAAAUGACCUUUAUGUCCUCAUCCUGAGUAUGAUGUACUUAGACUUUCAAGGGUAACCUGAUUAAUUUUCUCUGGAUGUUGUGCAAUUAGCGGGACCAUUUCCAGGAAGGGGAGGUGUAGCCAUUUCGAGAGGCCAGCUUGUGCGCACCUCGGCUAAUUCUGCUUCCUGCUACCUCCAAUCAACAGAAUUACCAGGCAACUCUAUAGACCAAGGCUUGGAUAGUCAACUUAUAAAUUUCUACACUUUCUCCAAGAUGCCUCAGGUGAAGGAAAUCGUUGUCAUAUGUGAUCCUUCUUAUCAUGACAUUUUUAAAGGUUCUACACUUUAUAGGUGUGUAAAUAGAGCUAUGGUAGCAUGUCUAAGAAUUGUGGAUGUUCACUAGUUGGUUGGAAGUCAAUCUGGAGAAAGAUUUGAACUCAUUAUUCUCCAAACUUUAGUUUUUCUCUUACAAUAUGGUCACAACAUCAUAGAAUGGA